rnacentral:rRNA from 1 species
UACGAGGGGGGCGAGCGUUGUUCGGAAUUAUUGGGCGUAAAGGGUGCGUAGGCGGUUCCGCAAGUCCUGUGUGAAAUCUUCGGGCUCAACUCGAAGUCUGCACGGGAAACUGCGGGGCUUGAGUGUGGGAGAGGUGAGUGGAAUUCCUGGUGUAGCGGUGAAAUGCGCAGAUAUCAGGAGGAACACCGGUGGCGAAGGCGGCUUGCUGGGCCUUACCUGACGCUGAGGAGCGAAAGCGUGGGGAGCGAACAGG